rnacentral:sRNA from 1 species
AGACCAUCCAAGAAGACAGUGCAGCCACCUCUGAGAGCCUGGAUGUGAUGGCGUCACAGAAGAGACCCUCCCAGAGGCACGGAUCCAAGUACCUGGCCACAGCAAGUACCAUGGACCAUGCCAGGCAUGGCUUCCUCCCAAGGCACAGAGACACGGGCAUCCUUGACUCCAUUGGGCGCUUCUUUGGCGGUGACAGGGGUGCGCCCAAGCGGGGCUCUGGCAAGGUACCCUGGCUAAAGCCGGGCCGGAGCCCUCUGCCCUCUCAUGCCCGCAGCCAGCCUGGGCUGUGCAACAUGUACAAGGACUCACACCAUGCAGCAAGAACUGCUCACUACGGCUCCCUGCCCCAGAAGUCACACGGCCGGACCCAAGAUGAAAACCCCGUAGUCCACUUCUUCAAGAACAUUGUGACACCUCGCACACCACCCCCGUCGCAGGGAAAGGGGAGAGGACUGUCCCUGAGCAGAUUUAGCUGGCGUGAAGGGGGCCGAAGGCCAGAGACCAGGAUUUGGCUACGGAGGCAGAGCGUCCGACUAUAAAUCGGCUCACAAGGGAUUCAAGGGAGUCGAUGCCCAGGGCACGC